AGCUCAAUGAUUACAGCAAAUUAAAACGCUAUUCUGAGAAAGUUAAAGGGCUGAUAUUGGAAUAUAGGAGAGCU